UUCAAGCAGGUGUGUAGGAGCUGGUUGGAGCUAAACUCUGCAGGACAGUGGUCCUCCAGGACCAAGUUUGGAGACCUCUGUUCUGAAACAACAGUAAUUACUGCUGUGCGAGGAAUGUGAGUCGCCCGUGGUGUGUCAACUGCGUGAGGAAAGUUUAACUCUGUUCUGAACAGCUUCCAUGCACUUCUCUGGUGAUUUGAAUGGGGGCCAGUAACUUUGUUUCUUGUCUGUGCUCAACCAGUUUGAUGCUACCACCAUCACCUCAUCUGAGUCAUGCAAGCUCCUGUUAGUUCCAGCUCCCUGGUCUGUCCUCCCAGGCCUUCACCAUGGCUCCUCCCUCCUGUGACUCCGCCAUGGAACGUCUCGCUGGUUGUGGCCUGGGUCCCUGCCUGGCUCCUUCUGCUCCUGGAUCCUCGCUCCACUCCCCCAUUGACAGUUUUGACUGUUUUCAUCCCUGUCCUGUUCCAAGUUGUGUUUGCUUAAUUUUCUUCAACCCCCCAUG